rnacentral:rRNA from 1 species
GGAAGGUGCACUUGGAAAAAAC